CUCUACAGCCCACAGGCACGAGCCCGCUGCAGGCCCCUGGCCUCCCCAGCCCCCCUCCUGUUCUUUAGCAGGUACCUUCACUGCAGGAGCAGGUGAUCCCUGUGCCCUGCACCCUGCCUGGCAGCUGGGAGCCACCGAUGGAGCCCUUUCAGGAUGCCAUGGUGCUCACAGAGGACCAGAAGCACCCAGUGCCCAACAACACGUGCCCCCGCCCUGCCACAGCUCCGCUCACCUGCAGCGUUGUGAUACUGGAAGCAGGUGAAGUGACACUGAGCACAGACAUUCCAGAUGACAAUGUGGAAAUUGACAGUUUGCUCACCUGGAUCAACAACAAAGUGGCAAGUACUCUGGAGGUCCCCCAGGAGAACAAGGACCUGCCUGUUGUCAAAAGGGAGGAGGCCAAAGACGCUGACAAUGUGGAAGAGGCUCAACCCACAGAGUAACAGGAAAUAUCCAGAAGAGGCCAUUUGACCUGGCUUUUGCUGGAGUGACUGCAGCACUGCUUUGGCUUCCUUGCUCUUUGGACUGAUUAUCAGUGCCUAUGGAGAAGUUCUGAGUCGUGGAUCUUCAGUG
rnacentral:lncRNA from 1 species